GACGAACGCUGGCGGCGUGCUUAACACAUGCAAGUCGAACGGUGAAGCCCUUCGGGGUGGAUCAGUGGCGAACGGGGGAGUAACACGUGAGCAACCUGCCCCUGGCUCUGGGACAACCACUGGAAACGGUGGCUAAUACCGGAUACGACCCGCCUCGGCAUCGAGUGUGGGCGGAAAGUUUUUCGGCUGGGGAUGGGCUCGCGGCCUAUCAGCUUGUUGGUGAGGUGAAGGCUCACCAAGGCGACGACGGGUAGCCGGCCUGAGAGGGCGACCGGCCACACUGGGACUGAGACACGGCCCAGACUCCUACGGGAGGCAGCAGUGGGGAAUAUUGCACAAUGGGCGAAAGCCUGAUGCAGCGACGCCGCGUGAGGGAUGACGGCCUUCGGGUUGUAAACCUCUUUCAGCUCCGAAGAAGCGAAAGUGACGGUAGGAGCAGAAGAAGCACCGGCUAACUACGUG
rnacentral:rRNA from 1 species